GAUCAUGGCUCAGGAUGAACGCUGGCGGCGUGCUUAACACAUGCAAGUCGAACGAAGCACUUUAAUUGAUUUCUUCGGAAUGAAGUUUUUGUGGCUGAGUGGCGGACGGGUGAGUAACGCGUGGGUAACCUGCCUCAUGCAGGGGGAUAACAGUUGGAAACGACUGCUAAUACCGCAUAAGCGCACAGGAUUGCAUGAUCCAGUGUGAAAAGCUCCGGU
rnacentral:rRNA from 1 species